CCUCCGUUGCUCUCUCUCUCUGGCCGGAUCGGAUAUCAUUCCAUAACCUGACCGGGAUUCUUUCCCAGGCCCGGCUUUCUGACAGAGUUUAGAGGUUGAUGAUUUAUAUAUAGAGUGUGUGGGGCCCCUUCGGUUGCACCACGGGGUCUUCUAUGGUGUGUCUAGCUGCUGUGAUGGUGGGUUCUGAGACGGGACUUGAGUGGGUUCAAUGAAAGGAAGAUUGAAUUAACUAUGAAUGUCAAUAUUUCUGGGGAGUCAGAGAGUGUCAUGACAGGACACAGACAGGUUGACAGGGUGACAGGGACGCAGGCUGACAUGGUGACAGGGACACAGACAUGCUGACAUGGUGGCAGGGACACAGACAGGCUGACAUGGUGACAGGGACGCAGACAGGCUGACAUGGUGACAGGACCCAGACAGGCUGACAUGGUGACAGGGACACAGACAGGCUGACAUGGUGACAGGGACACAGACAGGCUGACAUGGUGACAGGGGGACAUAGAGGAGGAUGUGGAGGAGGGAGCAGGGCUGUUUGCGUGUUACCCAGUACUGAACUGAACACCCCUCCCCCCUCCUCUCCACUUCCUAAUUCCAGUAUCAGUCUAUUGUCAUACUCUGACUCUGGGAAUGUGCCCUGGCUGUGUACAAGGAGACAAGUGAAGGGAGGGAGAGAAUGACAAGGAGGAGAUGAGAAGUGUAGAGGAAGACAGUGACUAAUCAAGAGAACGCUUGCUGUUGACAAAGUGGGAAGAGCAGAGGGAGAGUACAUAACUUCAUUGGUGGAGACAUGUUGAAAAGCAGCCACACACUCAGAGGGAAGGGUGUAGGUGCUGUUCUGCUCUGUGUGUCCUUAACCCUGCUGUGUUGAGUAACAGGCCUACUGCUGGCCUCUCUGUCACACAUACACACCGCUUUAUCCCCUUGUCCAUGUGUGUUUGUUUGUGCAACUGUGUGUGCGUGUAUCAUUUGUCAUUAGGCUCCGCCACAGUAGUAACUGUCAGGCACCGCUGACUCUCCCUGUUUCUGAUUGGCCGACCCCUGACCCCCUAGACAUUCUGGUAACCAACGGCAGCGGAGCCGGGCACAGAGACAGCUGCAGCCCCUGUGUGCGUACAGCUCUGAUUCCCCUGUCACACACACUGGCUAGUGACAAGGAGUGGGAUUCCGUUUGGCUUGUUUUGCUCAGGAAACACUAUCGAUUAAUCAGGCCUAUAUUAGUCACCAGUGUCCUUGAGGAUUAAACAGAGCUAGACUGAGUUUAAUAGGUUACGUAUGAAUGAGACUUAAUGCUACCCAUGAUCACGUUCAGUGUGCUGUCCCCCUCCUUUAAAGACUCCCCCUUAAACACACACAACCCACCCCAAAAUGACAUGGUCCCCGGAAUGUACACAAAUCUAAAACCUCCCACCUCUGCAAACUUAUGUGAAGACACACAGGUUGAAUGCAAUCAGUUGUGUAACUCUCCCCCUCUUUCUCUCUCUUUCUCUCUCUCCCUCCUCUUUCUCUCACCCAUUCCCUCCUCUCUUCCCACCGCUUCUCUCUUUUACCCAUCUCCCCUCUCUCCCCCUCCCUCUCCCUCUCUGUCUCCACCCCUACUCAGUUUCUGCUCAGGCCCUCUCACCCUCUGCUUCAGACCGGAGAUAAGAGCAAACACACACCAUGAUGAUCGCCGUCCAGACACCAUUGUCCACUGUUUACCCACGGAAUACCUCUGCUACUUAACCUCCUUUUCACUCCCUCUAUCCCUGUUUUCUCUCUUCCUAUCCCUCAUUCCCCCCUUUUCCUGCCUUUCUAAAAGACACUGUUUCAAAGGAAGGAUGCUGAAUAGUGGAUGCUGUGUUCUCCCUACCCUCUUUCUUGCCACUCUGUGUCCAGUUCAGCCUACGUCUCUGUCUCACCCUGGGCUUAUGUUUCCGAGACGUUACGUCAUUGCAGGGCCCAAACAUUACAAGGUUAUGUAGUAUCAGAAUGGAAUGGUGUAUUAUUUGGGCUGUGUGACUAAUUCACUGGGUAGAGCUUGACUUGGCUGGAGGCCAGAAUGGGAUUGAGAAAGAACUCUCCUUCUCUCCCAUCUGUGUGUGUGUGUGUGUGUGUGUGUGUGUGUGUGUGUGUGUGUGUGUGUGUGUGUGUGUGUGUGUGUGUGUGUGUGUGUGUGUGUGUGUGUGUGUGUGUGUGUGUGUGUGUGUGUGUGUGUGUGUGUGUGUGUGUGUGUGUGAGCUGUCCUGACUGCAUAACAGCAUUGUUCAUAACACCAGAAAGCGUGAGGAGAUUGUCGGUCAAUAUCCUGUCCCGUGCCAUGACCAGGAAGAGCACAGAAGCCUGAUAUAUUGUUUCCAUGUGGCCCAGGCCCAGGGUGUGUCUGUGUACCUGCCCUGGCCUUCAGAUCAGAGAUCAGAGAGAGGCAUCACCUAACGCCAUUUUACACAUCCACCCAACAGCCCAACUACACCCACUUCACAGGCCCCUUGAAGUGGCUGGGUGGUGGGGAGUCAGUGUUGGGGUUGGUGGAGUUAUUGAAUGGAAGUUUAGGUGAAGGUCUGUGUAAGAUCUGGCUGUGUGGGAUAGUGUUGGGUUGGGUUAAGUGCAAGGGUUAGGCUUGGCUACAGUAAAUUAGUUGAGAUGAGGUAGGGGAGCAGGUCAGACACAGAGGCAGGGGGACCUCUCAAACUACUCUCCCCUGGCCUCCCGAGUGGCGCAGUGGUCUAAGGCACUGCAUCGCAGUACUAGCUGUGCCACUGGAGAUUCUGGUUAGUCCAGGCUCUGUUGCAGCUGGCCGCAGGAGUCGCAAACCCUCCCCUAACCCAGACGACACUGGGCCAAUUGUACGCCGCCCCAUGGGACUCCCGACCGGGUGGCCGACCCAUGGGGCGGCACACAAUUGGCCCAGCGUCGUCCGGGUUAGGAGAGGGUUUGCGACUCCUGUGGCGGGCCGGGCGCAGUGCACUCUAACACUGUUGCCAGGUGUACGGCGUUUCCUCCGUCACAUUGGUGCGGCUGGCUUCCGGGUUAAGCGGGCGUUGUGUCAAGAAGCAGUGAGGCUUGGUUGGGUCAUGUUUCGGGGGACGCACGGCUCUUGACCUUCGCCUCUCCCGAGUCCGUACGGGAGUUGCUGGGAUUUGUUAUUUUUUUUUGUAUUAAAUAAUAAUUGAAAAAAGAUUCAAAAUAACAUCUCUCCCCAGUCAGGGUGAACCUUCACUGGGCCUCAUGGUGCGUGUCACUCCCUCCUCCCUCCCUAUCGUUUGAGCCUCUGCUCAAUAUUGACACACCUGAUCACCAGGCCAUAGAACGCUGCACAUCAGCACAAUGGAAUGCUCCUGUCAUACAUCAAACAGAGGGAGAUGACGGUGGCUGCGCCAGAGGCGUUAGAGAAGGAGAAAUGGAGGAGGGAGCAGGGCUUUCUCUUUCUUUCUUUUCAUUCAUCCAUCUCUCUUGAUGUUAGCCAAUGGAGAAAGAGUGAAAGGUGAAUGAAGGGAACACAGAAAAAGCCUAAACGAGCGUAAAUGGUGUUAUUGUGGUAGUGUUGUUAACCUCUCUCCCUCCCUUCGUUCAGGUGGCCAAGGUGGAGUAUGUGCGGAGGAAACCCAAGCUGAAAGAGGUCUUGGUCAGGUUAGAAGACCACCUGGAGUGUGUGUGCACGUCACAACAUCACGUGACCGAGCACUCAGACGCAGACACAGGUAAAUAAUGUUAAGGCCGACUGAAUUUAUCACAACUUUAUUGGAGCGUAGAUGGCCUUCACAGACUGUUUGGUUGGAUGUCUGAGUAUCUGAGUCCCGCCCCAUUCAGUCAUUCCUUCCUACGCCUGGUCUUUUUAUACUGCUAGUCUGUCUGUCUGUCUGUCUGUCUGUCUGUCUGUCUGUCUGUCUGUCUGUCUGUCUGUCUGUCUGUCUGUCUGUCUGUCUGUCUGUCUGUCUGUCUGUCUGUCUGUCUGUCUGUCUGUCUGUCUGUCUUCCUGCCUACCUGCCUGCCUGCUGGCUCUCUAGCUUGCACUGCAUGACCUCUUGUAUAUCACUGUUGGGAAAACAGACACGCCUGCAAGCUAGACUUCUAUUGCCAAACCUGCAAGGCCCCUUGUGUGUGUCUGAUAGAAAGACAGUGUCAGUGUGUGUGUGAGGGUGUUUGUUUGUCUGUGUGUGUGUGUGUGUGUGUGUGUGCGUGCAUGCAUGCGUGUAAAGGGAGGGUGUCCAAAGGCUGCUUGGCUUGGCUUGGACGGCAGGUAACAAUCCUUUCCCCUUGAUCCAAAGCCUCCGUUGGGAAGAGACAAUGUGGACUGAGGCAUCUCAACUUUUUAUAGUGUCAUUUCAAAUCCUCUUGAAUUCUCUCUCUGUCAUGGAGGCUUUUUAUCUCCUCUGCUUUCUGCUCUUUGUGUCGUAAACCUUGCUGCUUCCCCCUCUUGCUAACCCUUGUCCUUGUCCUCCUAUCCUCCCUCCCCAACUUGUGUUUUCAGGCCACCAUACUAGGGCUAAAGGUAGAAAAAGGAAAGCUAAAAAGCUAAAGCUCAACAAGGAUUUAUUGGCGACAUAAUAAACUUGAACACAUUAUUCCAAAGUCCGGCCGCCGGACCCCCCGGCUCCAACAGGUAGGAGGACUUUAGCACCAGCAUGGCAAUCCAACCAAUUACCCACCUGCUGGUCACAAGCCCAAUCAGGACAGAGAAAGGUUUGCCAAUCAGAUCACAAUCAACACCACACCCAAUCAGUGCGAGGAGAGGGAGGGCUGAAAUGGGCCACGCUCUGUGAAUGCCGCUGCAUGAUUUAGUGUGAUUUUUAUGCCUGCCUGCACACUGCAUAUCCUCUUUGUGUUGUGUUUUUAUGCCUGUAUGAGUUUAUGAAUGAGUAUUUCAACCUCACCUUGUUCACCGACCAGUAUUUGUCCUUCACUCCAGCUGUCUCUGUGUCUCUGUGUGUAUCUGAUUUCAAAUACCAUUCUACAUGGUCUCUACUUCCCAUGCUCUCCCCUGUAUUUCAUGUCCUUUAUCUUUCUCUCUCAUCCUCUCUGUCCAUUUGUCCUGUCUCAUCUCUGUCUGUCUGUCUGUCUGUCUGUCUGUCCAAUGUUCUGACUGUCUCGUCUCAUCUCUGUCUGUCUGUCUGUCCAAUGUUCUGACUGUCUCGUCUCAUCUCUGUCUGUCUGUCUGUCCAAUGUUCUGACUGUCUCGUCUCUGUCUGUCUGUCUGUCUGUCUGUCUGUCUGUCUGUCUGUCUGUCUGUCUGUCUGUCUGUCUGUCUGUCUGUCUGUCCAAUGUUCUGACUGUCUCGUCUCUGUCUGUCUGUCUGUCUGUCUGUCUGUCUGUCUGUCUGUCUGUCUGUCUGUCUGUCUGUCUGUCUGUCUGUCUGUCUGUCUGUCUGUCUGUCUGUCCGUCUGCCCGUCUGUCCAAUGUUCCGUCUGCCUGUCUGUCUGUCCAGUGUUCCGUCCAUCGUUCCGUCCGUCGUUCCGUCCGUCCGUCUGUCCCUCUCUCUUUAUGACACACGUUCAAAUUGAACAAAAUGGGGAAUGAAUAUCACCUUUUACCUCUAACAUGUUCAAAUAAUAUGGGGAUUAAUGAAAUGCUAAUGCUAAAGCUAAUGGUAAUAGUAAUUAUGGGGGUAAUGGUAAUGCUAAAGCUAAUGGUAAUAGUAAUGAUCAGGCUAAUGCUAAUGAAAUGCUAAAUGUUAAUGUCAGCUCUCUCUCUCUCUCUCAUCUCCACAGUGGACAUAAGGUGAGACCCCAGCAGCAUUGGACUUCAGUGUGGAAGGGGCCAAAGAGAGGAUGCUGCCAUAUUUGGACUGCUGACCUACCCCCUUCCCUGACCCCACCCCACCUACCGCCUUUUAAAAACAAAGAUUACUGUAAAGAGAAAAAAAGAGAAAAAGUUAAUAAAAUGCCAAAGGUGCUUUUUUCUAUUACCGUAAAAAGUAAUGCAGAAGGUCUCUGUCAAGUGCAGCAGAACCAACCAAUCGAACAGUGAUGCGGAUGAGGAUGGUGAAGGCGAUAAAGACCUGGGCAGAAAAGAGAAGAGGAGGACAAGAUGGGUUGUCGUUUGUUUGGGUAAACAGGACAGUUUGACGAUCACAGAGAGAGAUCCAGGAUGGAUCAUUGGAUUAAGCCUUGAUGGGGGAUCUGUUGACUGGAUCCUAAAAGGACACAGAGAGGGACAAUCAGUGAACUCUUUGGGACGUGUGGAGGCUUGCAUGUUCCUAGCCGUUGGCCUAAGUGACACUUGCCUGGACAGUCAAUGACUGACAGAGAGAAAAAGAGAGGGAGAGAGGGAAAGAGAUGUUGAGAGAAGUUGUAGAGAGGUGUAGAAGGUACUGGUCGUGUUACUUGUUGUUCCGGAACUCUCUGUAAACUGUAGUGGAACUUGUGAACAUUCUGGAACUCAUAAAAUGGUUGCCCAUUUUGUUUCUUUUGGAUAAAGUGUUGGGAAAAGUGUUUGCAAUCAUCAGGACCUGUUGUUCCAAGCGGCUUCUCUGCUUCUCUCUCUCUUGGGUUUCCCUAUCUGCUCCUAUUGGGAUUGUGCCAGUCGCCAUAUACACUACAGAACGAUUCAGAAAGGAAGAUUCAUUCAUUGCUACUAAUAAACUAUUUAUACGUGUAAACGUUUUCAUUUCUCUCUCUCUCCCUCCAAGACAUUGUUAUGUUUUCUGUGACAUGUAAGAGUCAUGUUCUGUCUGAUCCUCUGGUAGUGAAUCUUCAUGUCCACAUGUUCAUGUAGUUGUUACGCAUGUUCAAUGUUGUCUUAUUAUGUGCCAGUAUAUUAUCUGAACAGUCUCAAGUCUAGUUGUAUGGGCUGGAAAUGUAAGGAAGCGUGGCGAGGAGGAGAUGGGGAGGACAGAGUCUGUACAAGUACAGGAAGAUGCUUUAUUUUUGUUAAGAAAAUAUAUUAUGCUUACUUAUAUUCAAGUAGGAAGUAUGUUUGUUAUUUCUUUGUUUGUUGUGGUUGAAGGCUUUUAUUUAAUCCAUGGAAACGAUGCAGGAAUGGGGGUGAGGAAAUGUAUAAGUCCCCAGCAAUGCACCCUGUUUGGUGGUGUAGGGCAGCCUUACAUCAGCAGUGCUGUACUGUAUUAUCUAGAGCGCUGGAUAGAGCUAACCUGGUCCCAGAUCAGUUUGUGUUGUCCUCCAAACACAUAUAGUCAUUGGCAAGACAGCACAAACCGAUCUGAGAUCAGGUUAGUGCAGAGCUGGCUGAGGAAGACUCAAUCUGGGGCAUCGUUGGACUGUGUCUCUUUAACCCAGUUAUCUAGCCAAAAGUUACACCCAGUAACCAGAGCGCCAUUAUACACAACAGAACACACACGUUCAGCAUGUGUGUGUGUGUGUGUGCACAUAAAUGUGUGUGUGAAACCACUUUUAACCCACAUCACACUCCUUUGAUAAGAUGGUACCCAGUCCGCCCCACCAGCACACAAGCUGUUCUUAACGAGUACAAAGUCCAUCUUGAAUGAGAGAGAGUUUGUGAACAAACCAACAUGGAUGGUUUCCUAGUUAAUCAAGCAGCAGUCUUCCAUUGACACGUUAACAACGAUGAAGACUGUUCCACUGUUGACACGUUAACAACGAUGAAGACUGUUCCACUGUUGACACGUUAACAACGAGGAAGACUGUUCCACUGUUGACACGUUAACAACGAGGAAGACUGUUCCACUGUUGACACGUUAACAACGAUGAAGACUGUUCCACUGUUGAUGAGUGAAAGAUCGAAAAAGAAGAUACCACUGUUUAUGGAGAGACUGACACCAAAUCUCUAACAACACCCUAUUUCCCGUAGAUUGCAGUGCACUACUUUAGACCAGAGCCACUGGCCAAAAUUAGUGCGCUACAUCGGGAAUAGGUUGUCGUUUGGCACACACUGAAUCAAUAGAAAGACCUGGGCACUUUUCCAAAAUGUCUCAGAGUAGGAGUGCUGUUCAUCUUAUUCAUUAUGAUCUAAACAGCUAAACUGAUCCUAGAUCAGCACUAAAUGUCUCAGAGUAGGAGUGCUGUUCAUCUUAUUCAUUAUGAUCUAAACAACUAAACUGAUCCUAGAUCAGCACUUUAUGAAGUCCUGGGUGAGAGACAUGUUGAGAGAAAAUAGAUGACUGUAUCUGCAGCUGCUUUGUGUUGUGGUAACAACAUCUUCAACUGCACUAUACAGACUUCCAAGGUGAUUCCAUUGGUGCUAUAUGUAUAAAGGAAAUCAGAAGAAGUUUCACCACCAUUUUGCAAUGCAUUCAUUUAUUCAUUCAUUGUCAAUAGACCAGGGACCAUUGCUUACAGUAACUAAAGAAACUGCAACAACACAGGCUAAUAGGAUUUUUUAUUUGGGCCUCUAUUGGAUAAAAACAGCAAUGAUUAUAAUUUAUAUAUUUAUGUUUUCAAUAAUAAAUACAUUCUGCUUAUCAAAC
rnacentral:lncRNA from 1 species